UGACAGCGUGGGGAGCAAAAAGGAUUAGAUACCCUUGUAGUCCACGCCGUCAACGAUGCUAGUUACUUUUUUGUUAACACAAAAACUAGCUGCCUGGGAAGUACGGUUGCAAAACUAAAACCCAAAGAAACUGUCGGGAGUCGGCCUUAGCGAUGGAGUAUGCUGCUUUAUUCGAUGCAACGCGCAGAACCUUACCAUUUUUUGAAAACUAUACGAGUUUUUGAUUCUGUAGCACAGGUAUUGCAUGGCUGUCGUCAGUUCGUGUCGUAAGACGUUUGGUUUAGUCCUUUUUACGAAUGAAAUACAUAUUUUCUAUUUCUGAUGAAGAAAAGAAAAAAAAUCUCUAAAAUAAUUAGUUCGAUUGAAAAUUGUGCGAUGUCAAGUCUUUAUGGUCUCAAUAAAAUGGGCUGCAAGCAUACUACAAUAUAAAAAAUAGAAAGUUGCGCGAUUGCGAAAGGAAGCUAUCCUUUAAUUUUUUAUAAACGGAUUGUUUUCUGUCACUCGAAAACAUGAAGAAGGAAUCGCAAGUAAUCGUAAAUAAGUUAUGUUACGGUGAAAGAGUAUCCUGGCUUUGAACACACCGCCCGUCACACGCUAGCAUUUGCUUGUUUUCAAAAUAAUAACUCUUUUUUUAUUGUGUUGUUAUGCUUUAAAAAAAAAAGUGAUUAUAAAAAAGCAGGGAAAAACUGGGGUGAAGUCGUAACAAGGUUGCCGUAGAGGAAUCUGUGGCAGGAUUAUCUC
rnacentral:rRNA from 1 species